UUAUAUUAUUAGUGCCUUAUAAUUAUGCAUUACAUAUUUAAUUAAUUAUUACAAUAUAUUUCGUGACUUGUAACCCGGCCUUAUAACCCUCAUUAGUGAUCUGCCACAUAAUAUUUCAUCAGUCCUUUCAUCACGCGCCCGACGUCAAAAUUCACGAAUCGGGUAUGCCCCAAAGAUCAUGGCGGAAUUGCAAUCGAAUGUUUUCGAUUUUGUGUGACUAAUAAUGUUCAUAUUUCAGUUUUUGUUUACCAGUCCGGGCUUGUGAUGGGCAUGGUUGGUUAACUGGACUUCGUUUCACAUCGUUUCUAGGUAUAAGAGAGUGUUCUCCAUCGCAUCGAAAGCGGUAAAAACUGACAAUUUUUCUACCUUUGAAGUCACCAAUCAAGUAAGUGUAAUAGUUCUGGAUACUUUUGCACUUUCACACUCAAGUACUGUUCUGGUAUAUUAAAUAAUACCAGGUAAUUGUAAUAUUUUUGUUAUAACAAAUUACAAGUUUUCUAACCGAGUAUGUGACUUUAAUACAGGAGUGUCAAUGUUUGUCAAAAUCACUUUGAUGUAAAUUUUGAUUAAGAUGUCUUGUGCAACCUGGGCUUAUCUGACAUGAUAUGUAUCCUGACUUCCAGUCUUCCAUCAUAUUGAUACAAUAUAAUUGCUGCAUGAUCCUGGGGUUUCAAAUUUGAAUUUGCUUGCAAAUGCCUAACAUAUAUAAUAGCUCUCUGUUAUGAUCAACAACUAUUAGAAAGUUUUGGAAAAAUGUCAAGAAUUCAGACCAACUCCGAAAUAGAGGUUCAUUUGCUGAUUUUCCAAACAAAUUAUGUUGAAAUCAAUCCUAUGUCCUUUUAGGAUUUUAUCAUCAUUUCCAUAUUUUCAUGCAAAUUAUUGUAUGUAUGUACCACUAUCAUUCGUCUUUGUAUGUAUUUCGGCAACAGGAAUAUAACUGCAGCCAUAAAGUUCUCAAUCUAAUUUUAUCAUUGCACAUGUGAAUGGCUGGUAACCACAAGGAGAAAGUUAUUAACUGACAAAUUUUCAAAAAUAUUUUAGUGGGCUUACAAAGAUUUUCUAAACAUCAUGCCAAGCUUGAAGGCACCAACAGAAGUUAUCAUUGGUGUGAGAGUGUCAGUUGUCAAUCUUGAGAUAAAAUAAAACUGACAACUGCUGGUAAUUUGUAAAAAAUCUGUCUUUGUUUAAUUUAUAGACAAAGCAGGCAAAAGACUAAGAAUAUUACAUUUUCUACCGAGCGCAGAGAAGACCUUAUCACAGAGGCUUUAUUCUACAAAGACUUUGCUGGUCAUAAAAGUGGAAGUGAAUUCGUGUCACCAGGCUCACUGGAUCAGAUUGAUUAAAGAGAUAAUAAAAAUUGGCUUCUUACAACUAUAAAGAUAUAGAACUGAUUGCACUGGUCUCAGAUUAUCCUAGGGGAUUUGUUGUUGUCUGUGGUGGUUAUUAGCAGAAUGCAUCUUUUCACAUCAAACAGGAGAGAGGAAUUGCUGAAAAAGAUGAUGGAAUCUUCUUUCAAUAACGUUGACGUUACGAUAAAAUAUGUCAACAUUUUAAUAACCUAUUUAACCUAUUUCUAUAGUGCGUGUGAGAAGACAUAUAGUAUAAAAUUUAUUACAGCAAUUAAAUUCUAUACACAUACUAAGCAACAUAUCUGAGAUGCAAAUUUAAUUCAACUAAUUAUAACGAGAGAUAUCUGGUAUUUGUUAUGCAAAUACUUAUAUAGAUAUAAUAACCAUAACCAUAACCGUUUUUUCUUUAUGAACUUCGUGAAAAAGAUCAAGUAAAUUAAAUAAUCAUAGCCCUUCAGCACAUGAUCUUGUACUCUAGUGGUGAGAACAAGGAUUUCCCAAUGGUAAAUCGAUGCUUCGAAUCUUACCAUAACCGUUUUUUCAUUAUGAACCUCUUGGAAAAGAUAAAG